GGCCCUGGUGGAUGAACCUGAUAUGCAGCGGAAUGCAGCUUCUAUACAGUCAUGGGCUGAUAAAUUAAGCCUUAAUGGUUCAGAAGUUACAUUUUCACAGCUAAAGAAUUGGCUUAACAAUAGAAAAGCCAGACUAGCACGUGCAGGUAAGGAUGUUCGUGCACCUAUGGACGUAGACAAUGCUCAUUCAGAAAGGCAAGGUGGACCAGCUGGACCAGCAGUACGGCAUUCACAUGACUCACCUGAGAGUCAUGGUGAAGAUAAUGUUCCAUCAGGCGCAAGACUUAAUCAAAACACAUCAAGAACUGGCACUGCUGAAAAUGCUGAUUUUGUUGGCGUUGGUACUGCGGAAUGUUUUCAUUGCAAGCCAGGUCAAUAUGUUGUGCUUGUAGAUAAGCAAGGGGAGGAGAUUGGCAAAGGGAAAGUCUGUCAGGUGCAGGGUAAAUGGUAUGGAAAGAGCUUGGAGGAAUCGGAGGCGUGUGUUGUGGAUAUUACUGAGCUUAAGGCUGAGAGAUGGGCGAGGCUUCCACACCCAUCUGAAGCCACGGGCAGUUCAUUUAGUGAGGCCGAAGCCAAGCUCGGGGUAAUGAGAGUUUUGUGGGAUUCAAAGAAAAUAUUCAUGUUUCGGCCUCAAUGAUGGUCUUUGUUAGAAUAUUAGCAGCUAUAGCAUUUUGUCACCAUCAGUAUAGUUUUUUAUUUAUUAGAUUCUAAUCAUAAUCAAUUUCAGGUUUUUUUUUU
rnacentral:misc_RNA from 1 species